GGAAAUGCAAAUCAAAGCCACUACACACCCACAAGAAUGGGUAUAAUGCACCGCUCCAUGUGCGUCCCUCCCGAAGCUGUGUGCUCGGUGGAAGAGGACUGAAGAGGAUGACCAUCCCCAUUAGAGGAGGAUGGUUCUUCAGUCAAGGGUAUAUGAGUAACUGUGCUCCCCUGCUAGAACCUCCAAAUAAGCUCUCAAGAAAUAUAAUUUAAAAAUAACUUAUGAGUAAAAGGGAAUUAUAAUAGAGAUUAUAAAAUAUUUUUAACCAGUCAUAAAU
rfam:Canis lupus familiaris chromosome 10, whole genome shotgun sequence.